CACGUAGGGCGCAAGCGUUGUCCGGAAUUAUUGGGCGUAAAGAGCUCGUAGGCGGUCUGUUACGUCUGCUGUGAAAACCCGGGGCUUAACCCUGGGCUUGCAGUGGAUACGGGCAGACUAGAGGCAGGUAGGGGAGAAUGGAAUUCCCGGUGUAGCGGUGAAAUGCGCAGAUAUCGGGAGGAACACCGGUGGCGAAGGCGGCAUCCUGGACCAAUAUUGACGCUGAGGAGCGAAAGCUAGGGGAGCAAACGGG
rnacentral:rRNA from 1 species